rnacentral:lncRNA from 1 species
GAUAAAGCAUAUUGAAGGUUUUGGAAAUUCAAAGUUCCUUGAAAAUCCUACAUUUUCUUCUAGCUAUAAUUUAUACAGUGGAGAUGCACAAGGUGGUUUUGACAUCUUAAAAAGUUGCAGCCACAGGGGAAGAGAGUAUUAUGAAAACCUUUGCAUGAAGGCUGUAAAUCAAUCAAUAGGUAUGUACUGAUUAUAGUUACCCCUAAAAGGUAAUUAUAUGGAGUGUGGAUUCCUCAAGAGGUUAAGCACUGAUUUGUGAAGGUUUUGGAAAUUCAAAGUUCCUUGAAAAUCCUACAUUUUCUUCUAGCUAUAAUUUAUACAGUGGAGAUGCACAAGGUGGUUUUGACAUCUUAAAAAGUUGCAGCCACAGGGGAAGAGAGUAUUAUGAAAACCUUUGCAUGAAGGCUGUAAAUCAAUCAAUAGGUAUGUACUGAUUAUAGUUACCCCUAAAAGGUAAUUAUAUGGAGUGUGGAUUCCUCAAGAGGUUAAGCACUGAUUUGUGGAAUUGACUUUUCAUAUGGUCUUAAAGUGAAGGAGUUCAACCUCUUGAGUGAUCUACCUCUUCGUUGAAUAACCCAUGUCUGGAAAUCAUUGGUUAAUAAUAGUACUUAAUUUUUUCACUCAGGAAGAAACUAUAGGUCAAGAAUGCUUGACAUCUUACUGGAUUUCCUGUCUGUUGUGCAUUACCACCUUUACCCAUCUUAUUGGGUUUCUCCACUAUCCUUUCACUGAUAAAUGUGUGU